rnacentral:lncRNA from 1 species
ACGAUUCACAAGUGUAACACUACUCAACUUGACUGCCCAGAUAUCCACAGAAUAUGAGAUGGAUGAUGCAAAUAAGAAAGAUCAUCAACUGUGCAAGGAACACCAGGCUUUGAGCAAGGGCUGCCAGCUCCUGCAGCCUAGCACCUUAGGAAAGCUUCCUGCUGACUCAAAAGGAUUUUUCUUCUUCUGAACUCCUAUUAUGGGAAUGGAUGAAAUCACUUACAGAGCCACAGAAGGAAACAAAGCAAAGCCAGGAUCAUGAGUUGGAUUAUCUGGAGGCCUAGGCCAAUGGGGAGUUAUUGCUUGCAGUCACUGAUCAAGCAAAUAAACUUUUCCUUCUUUCUUAUGAAAUUUAUUUAAGAAGCUGAAAUUACUUAAAUGAUAAUGAGUUGUGAGAAAAGAAUUGUAGUAGAUAUUUGUUCUCUAUCCAAAUUGCACUGAGUGGGGAGGUGUACCCAUACCCCAGCUUCGAGAAUUGACUGAUAACAGUUCACACCUGCACUUCUCCAGAGAAUUGUCCUUGUCUGACCUGAGCACCUUGUUUAGUAAUGUCUGGUAGGCUAUGCUCCACCUUCCCUGGGCAGAUCCACUGGUCUAAGACAAACAACCCAACCCUCUAAUUUCUGGGAAGAAUCACCUCCGUGAUUAAUCUAAGCUCCAGAUCUCCCAGAGAAAUCAUGCUGAGGCUACAUUUGUGAAACUACAUUUUUAUCUAGCUUCUUCCUUUGCCCUUUCCUGCUGUCCUCACUUCCUUAUGAAUUUUUUUCUGAAAGAUCUUGAUUAAUAAAUUAUUUAAUCAAGAUCCCCCAGUCAUAAGUUCUGUGUUUUGGAAUAUAACCUAUACAAAAAUAAAUUAAUUGGUACUAGAUAAUGCUCCGCUAUGCAUCUAUUUCAAUGUCUAUUCUUUGGAAGUUCUGUCAUCACACAUCCCCAAGUUUUAGAUAAGGUUUUUAGCUAACAGCCAG